rnacentral:rRNA from 1 species
ACUAACUGGAGGACCGAACCGACUAAUGUUGAAAAAUUAGCGGAUGACCUGUGGCUGGGGGUGAAAGGCCAAUCAAACCGGGAGAUAGCUGGUUCUCCCCGAAAGCUAUUUAGGUAGCGCCUCGUGAAUUCAUCUCCGGGGGUAGAGCACUGUUUCGGCUAGGGGGCCAUCCCGGCUUACCAACCCGAUGCAAACUGCGAAUACCGGAGAAUGUUAUCACGGGAGACACACGGCGGGUGCUAACGUCCGUCGUGAAGAGGGAAACAACCCAGACCGCCAGCUAAGGUCCCAAAGUCAUGGUUAAGUGGGAAACGAUGUGGGAAGGCCCAGACAGCCAGGAUGUUGGCUUAGAAGCAGCCAUCAUUUAAAGAAAGCGUAAUAGCUCACUGGUCGAGUCGGCCUGCGCGGAAGAUGUAACGGGGCUAAACCAUGCACCGAAGCUGCGGCAGCGACACUGUGUGUUGUUGGGUAGGGGAGCGUUCUGUAAGCCUGCGAAGGUGGCCUGUGAGGGUUGCUGGAGGUAUCAGAAGUGCGAAUGCUGACAUAAGUAACGAUAAAGCGGGUGAAAAGCCCGCUCGCCGGAAGACCAAGGGUUCCUGUCCAACGUUAAUCGGGGCAGGGUGAGUCGACCCCUAAGGCGAGGCCGAAAGGCGUAGUCGAUGGGAAACGGGUUAAUAUUCCCGUACUUGGUGUUACUGCGAAGGGGGGACGGAGAAGGCUAUGUUGGCCGGG